rnacentral:rRNA from 1 species
GUCGUAACAAGGUCUCCGUAGGUGAACCUGCGGAGGGAUCAUUACACAAAUAUGAAGGCGGGCUGGAACCUCUCGGGGUUACAGCCUUGCUGAAUUAUUCACCCUUGUCUUUUGCGUACUUCUUGUUUCCUUGGUGGGUUCGCCCACCACUAGGACAAACAUAAACCUUUUGUAAUUGCAAUCAGCGUCAGUAACAAAUUAAUAAUUACAACUUUCAACAACGGAUCUCUUGGUUCUGGCAUCGAUGAAGAACGCAGCGAAAUGCGAUAAGUAGUGUGAAUUGCAGAAUUCAGUGAAUCAUCGAAUCUUUGAACGCACAUUGCGCCCUUUGGUAUUCCAAAGGGCAUGCCUGUUCGAGCGUCAUUUGUACCCUCAAGCUUUGCUUGGUGUUGGGCGUCUUGUCUCUAGCUUUGCUGGAGACUCGCCUUAAAGUAAUUGGCAGCCGGCCUACUGGUUUCGGAGCGCAGCACAAGUCGCACUCUCUAUCAGCAAAGGUCUAGCAUCCAUUAAGCCUUUUUUUCAACUUUUGACCUCGGAUCAGGUAGGGAUACCCGCUGAACUUAAGCAUAU